rnacentral:lncRNA from 1 species
CUUCUUCCGGGCUCCCAGAGCACCGCUAUGGAGAUGCUCUCCCGGCAUUUGAGGAAGAAUUGAUUGUCCUCAUCCUGCAACUGUACUUGCCCAACCGAUAUUUAUUGAUGCCUGCAGUGUCCUGGGUGCCUACCAAGGGGCACAGAACUGGAUCCGACGCAGACCCUGCCUGCCUUCAGGUUGCUUGAAGAUGAACAGAGAGAUCGGACCUCUGCAUGAAGCCAGACUGCUCAUCAUUCCAGACAUCUUCAGCUGCUACACCCAGAACAAGCAUUCGAAAUAUGAACAGGAUGGUGAGCCAGAUCUUUCCAAUCAUGGUGGAGUGGAUGUGAACUUCCUCCAGAGUAUCUCCAAGGAGAUUCCAGUCCCCCAUGUUUAUUUAGUCAGCCAUCUUAGCUCUGAUCCACAUCAAAUAAGAGGCAGAUAAAUUCUUCCAUUCUGAAGGGAGCACUAUUUCUUAAAGCAAACCUAUGGUGAAAAUAUAACAAUAUGUCACUUC